UACGAAGGGUGCAAGCGUUGCUCGGAAUUAUUGGGCGUAAAGGGUUGGUAGGUGGUCUUGUUUGUCUAAGGUGAAAUCCCAUGGCUUAACUGUGGAAGUGCCUUAGAAACGGCAAGACUAGAGUCCUAGAGGGGUUUGUGGAAUUCCCGGUGUAGCGGUGAAAUGCGUAGAGAUCGGGAGGAACACCAGCGGCGAAGGCGGCAAACUGGAUAGGAACUGACACUCAACAACGAAAGCGUGGGGAGCAAACAGG
rnacentral:rRNA from 1 species